rnacentral:rRNA from 1 species
AAUAGAUACCCUGGUAGUCCGCGCCGUAAACGAUGAGUGCUAAGUGUUAGGGGGGUUUCCGCCCCUUAGUGCUGCAGCUAACGCAUUAAGCACUCCGCCUGGGGAGUACGGUCGCAAGACUGAAACUCAAAGGAAUUGACGGGGGGCCCGCACAAGCGGUGGAGCAUGUGGUUUAAUUCGAAGCAACGCGAAGAACCUUACCAGGUCUUGACAUCCCAUUGACCACUAUGGAGACAUAGUUUUCCCUUCGGGGACAACGGUGACAGGUGGUGCAUGGUUGUCGUCAGCUCGUGUCGUGAGAUGUUGGGUUAAGUCCCGCAACGAGCGCAACCCUUGUUCUUAGUUGCCAUCAUUUAGUUGGGCACUCUAAGGAGACUGCCGGUGACAAACCGGAGGAAGGUGAGGAUGACGUCAAAUCAUCAUGCCCCUUAUGACCUGGGCUACACACGUGCUACAAGUGGACGGUACAAACGGUUGCCAACCCGCGAGGGGGAGCUAAUCCGAUAAAACCGUUCUCAGUUCGGAUUGUAGGCUGCAACUCGCUACAU